rnacentral:piRNA from 1 species
UUCUGGAUGUGGCGUUUCCUCUGCC